GGCGAACGGGUGAGUAACACGUGAGCAAUCUGCCCCUGACUCUGGGAUAAGCGUUGGAAACGACGUCUAAUACCGGAUACGAGCUACGGCCGCAUGGUCGGUAGUUGGAAAGAAUUUUGGUCAGGGAUGAGCUCGCGGCCUAUCAGCUUGUUGGUGAGGUAAUGGCUCACCAAGGCGUCGACGGGUAGCCGGCCUGAGAGGGUGACCGGCCACACUGGGACUGAGACACGGCCCAGACUCCUACGGGAGGCAGCAGUGGGGAAUAUUGCACAAUGGGCGCAAGCCUGAUGCAGCAACGCCGCGUGAGGGACGACGGCCUUCGGGUUGUAAACCUCUUUUAGCGAGGAAGAAGCGAAAGUGACGGUACUCGCAGAAAAAGCACCGGCUAACUACGUGCCAGCAGCCGCGGUAAUACGUAGGGUGCAAGCGUUAUCCGGAAUUAUUGGGCGUAAAGAGCUCGUAGGCGGUUUGUCGCGUCUGCUGUGAAAUCUGGGGGCUCAACCCCCAGCCUGCAGUGGGUACGGGCAGACUAGAGUGCGGUAGGGGAGAUUGGAAUUCCUGGUGUAGCGGUGGAAUGCGCAGAUAUCAGGAGGAACACCGAUGGCGAAGGCAGAUCUCUGGGCCGUAACUGACGCUGAGGAGCGAAAGGAUGGGGAGCAAACAGGCUUAGAUACCCUGGUAGUCCAUCCCGUAAACGUUGGGAACUAGUUGUGGGGUCCAUUCCACGGAUUCCGUGACGCAGCUAACGCAUUAAGUUCCCCGCCUGGGGAGUACGGCCGCAAGGCUAAAACUCAAAGGAAUUGACGGGGACCCGCACAAGCGGCGGAGCAUGCGGAUUAAUUCGAUGCAACGCGAAGAACCUUACCAAGGCUUGACAUAUACGAGAACGGGCUAGAAAUAGUCAACUCUUUGGACACUCGUAAACAGGUGGUGCAUGGUUGUCGUCAGCUCGUGUCGUGAGAUGUUGGGUUAAGUCCCGCAACGAGCGCAACCCUCGUUCUAUGUUGCCAGCACGUAAUGGUGGGAACUCAUGGGAUACUGCCGGGGUCAACUCGGAGGAAGGUGGGGAUGACGUCAAAUCAUCAUGCCCCUUAUGUCUUGGGCUUCACGCAUGCUACAAUGGCCGGUACAAAGGGCUGCAAUACCGUAAGGUGGAGCGAAUCCCAAAAAGCCGGUCCCAGUUCGGAUUGAGGUCUGCAACUCGACCUCAUGAAGUCGGAGUCGCUAGUAAUCGCAGAUCAGCAACGCUGCGGUGAAUACGUUCCCGGGUCUUGUACACACCGCCCGUCAAGUCAUGAAAGUCGGUAACACCUGAAGCCGGUGGCCCAACCCUUGUGGAGGGA
rnacentral:rRNA from 1 species